GAAGCAUUUCGGUUAAAGUUUCAUUCUUUUUCUCCAUAAUGGAAGGUGGAUCCCCAGAUCGAGAAUCCGUGGAAUCUGGGACAAAAAAAUCUAGUAUUUCUUCAGGUGGGAGAGUCCAAGAUCGCAAAGAAUUUCUCCGUAGGUUUGUAGAUAGCAAAAGCCUGAUUGAAAACCUUAAGACAUGGUAUGAAGAGUUACGAGAGGAACCUCCCUUUGAUGUUCCUUUUGAAUUGAUAGAUCUUCAAAAGUUUG
rnacentral:misc_RNA from 1 species